rnacentral:rRNA from 1 species
GUUGAUGGCCGCAAGCAAGGUUGCUUUGGUCCAGUUGCCAGCGGAUGCGCUGGUAAGCAUGGCCUUGCGCUUCGCCGCGCUGGCCUUGACGGCAUCAAACGCCGCUAUCACGUCGCGAUCAUCCGCCAACUUGCAAGGUGUGGCAGUUGUGGCGGACGGCGCGGGCAGCUUGUUCGGUGGUGCGGCAGUGGCGGGCGAUGGGU